rfam:Vibrio cholerae 1587 gcontig_1103206003212, whole genome shotgun sequence.
GUUGGGAGGGCGACGAAUACAAUACCCUUCGGGGAAAUAAGUCCGCGGCGUUUAUCCUUAGGCCGUUUCGAACCUCCCAACACCAAUCU